rnacentral:rRNA from 1 species
GACGGAGGAUGCAAGCGUUAUCCGGAAUGAUUGGGCGUAAAGCGUCCGCAGGUGGCAGUUCAAGUCUGCUGUCAAAGACCGGGGCUUAACUUCGGAAAGGCAGUGGAAACUGAACAGCUAGAGUAUGGUAGGGGCAGAGGGAAUUCCCGGUGUAGCGGUGGAAUGCGUAGAGAUCGGGAAGAACAUCGGUGGCGAAGGCGCUCUGCUGGACCAUAACUGACACUCAGGGACGAAAGCUAGGGGAGCGAAUGGG